rnacentral:rRNA from 1 species
GAUGAACGCUGGCGGCGUGCCUAAUACAUGCAAGUCGAGCGAACGGACGAGACGCUUGCUUCUCUGAUGUUAGCGGCGGACGGGUGAGUAACACGUGGAUAACCUACCUAUAAGACUUGGAUAACUUCGGGAAACCGGAGCUAAUACCGGAUAAUAUUUUGAACCACAUGGUUCAAAAGUGAAAGACGGUCUUGCUGUCACUUAUAGAUGGAUCCGCGCUGCAUUAGAUAGUUGGUAAGGUAACGGGUUACCAAGGCAACGAUGCAUAGCCGACCUGAGAGGGUGAUCGGCCACACUGGAACUGAGACACGGUCCAGACUCCUACGGGAGGCAGCAGUAGGGAAUCUUCCGCAAGGGGCGAAAGCCUGACGGAGCAACGCCGAGUGAGUGAUGAAGGUCUGCGGAUCGUAAAACGCUGUUAUUAGGGAAGAACAUAUGUGUAAGUAACUGUGAACAUCUUGACGGUACCUAAUCAGAAAGCCACGGCUAACUACGUG